rnacentral:rRNA from 1 species
UUCGGCUCGUAAAGCUCUGUUGGGUAGUGAAGAAAGAUAGAGGUAGUAACUGGCCUUUAUUUGACGGGUAAUUUACUUAGAAAGUCACGGCUAACUACGUGCCAGCAGCCGCGGUAAUACGUAGGUGGCAAGCGUUGUCCGGAUUUAUUGGGCGUAAAGCGAGUGCAGGCGGUUCAAUAAGUCUGAUGUGAAAGCCUUCGGCUCAACCGGAGAAUUGCAUCAGAAACUGUUGAACUUGAGUGCAGAAGAGGAGAGUGGAACUCCAUGUGUAGCGGUGGAAUGCGUAGAUAUAUGGAAGAACACCAGUGGCGAAGGCGGCUCUCUGGUCUGCAACUGACGCUGAGGCUCGAAAGCAUGGGUAGCGAACAGGAUUAGAUACCCUGGUAGUCCAUGCCGUAAACGAUGAGUGCUAAGUGGUUGGGGAGGUUUCCGCCUCUCAGUGCUGCAGCUAACGCAUUAAGCACUCCGCCUGGGGAGUACGACCGCAAGGUUGAAACUCAAAGGAAUUGACGGGGGCCCGCACAAGCGGUGG